GUGCGAAAGCACGAUGAGGGGAUCCCAAGUGCUUGCUCGUAAGAGUUGGCUGUUUCUUUGUUUAAAACGCAUAGAGAGUAAGGGCUGGGUAAGACGGGUGCCAGCCGCCGCGGUAAUACCUGCAGCUCAAGUGGUGGCCGCUAUUAUUGGGCCUAAAACGUCCGUAGCCGGUUUAAUAAAUGCCUGGGUAAAUCGUGUAGCUUAACUAUACGAAUUCCGGGUAGACUGUUAAGCUUGAGACCGGGAGAAGUUAGAGGUACUCCUGGGGUAGAGGUGAAAUUCUGUAAUCCUAGGGGGACCACCAGUGGCGAAGGCGUCUGACUAGAACGGGUCUGACGGUGAGGGACGAAGCCCUGGGGCGCAAACCGGAUUAGAUACCCGGGUAGUCCAGGGUGUAAACGCUGCUUGCUUGAUGUUGGUUGGGCUCCGAGCCCAAUCAGUGUCGGAGAGAAGUUGUUAAGCAAGCUGCCUGGGAAGUACGUGCGAAAGCGUGCGAAAGCGUGCGAAAGCGUGCGAAAGCCACA
rnacentral:rRNA from 1 species